CGGGGUGUGGCCCAGUCCGGUCCAGGGCAACAGUCUGGGGGACUGUAGAUCGAGGGUUCAAAUCCCUCCACCCCGA
rnacentral:tRNA from 1 species